AAGCCUCCGUGUAUUUCGUCUGGAUUGUUUUUGUGUAGUUUGGAAUUCUGAGGAAAUGUCACAGUUUCUCCAUCAAUUUAAACAUCAAAUUUCUGUAAUAUUAUUGGCUGAGCGGACUCGACAUUUCCGAAGGUGUUCCGGGAAAGUCUGAAUCGGAACAGUUUCCGUCGAGAUCUCCGUUUAUCCACGCGUGACCGUAGGUCUCUGUGUAUCCGUCGUUAUGGUAGGAUGAGGUGUCGUCGGAGUCUAUGGUAUCAAAGGAAUUCAUCUGGAAAAACAAGGACGCCAGAUAUAUAUAAACUUAUCACUCUGGUCAAAAUCUAUUUUGGUUGUUGGUGGCAAAAAAUUGAAAAAUAUGGUAUCUACAAGUACUUUGCUGUAUAAUAAAGAAAAUAUCAUUCGAUCUAACAUUCGUCUUAAAAAUGAAAACAAUCAACUCAAAGGUAAAAUCGCACAAAGAACUUCAACACUGAAAGCCGCUAGGAUCUCCUUUUUUUUGGUCCUUUUACUCCUUCGGUUGCAGAAAUCUGACAUGCAGAUAUAAACAUCAAAUAGACAGAAGCAAUACUAAUUGAGAUAGAAAUGGGACGGAAAUAAUUCAAUGUCAAUUUAAAAAAAAGAAGAUUAGAAUUCCAUGCAUUUUAGCAGAAGAAAAAAAUAAGCGUUGGCCAAAAUAAGACAAAAAGCCAAAUAAAUGUUUGGAGCAAAAUGAAUGCAAAACUUAAAACACUGCAACUUCACGUGAAGUGAUACUUCAAGUGCGAUUUACCGUGAGUUGAUGGGUCAAAUCAUGUGAUUAUCUUUCGGACCAAUCAGCACUGGUCAUAGCAGACGACAUGAUCAUCGUCAUCAUCGUCAUGACUGACGUCACAGACAAAACUGCUCACCAGUUGUUGAAAUGGUGGAUGCUCUAAUUCGCUCUGCAUUGCAAACUCGCUGAGUGCUUUCCAGGGCGGCUGGUAACUUUGGACCUCGACUGGAUUGGCUUGCAUCGGGCUUUCGUGUCGCACGGGGCUGGAGGCCACCAUCGGGACUCCCUGGAGCGGACCGUGUAAUCUUCCUCCAUUCUAUGAAAAGAAACCAAAACGUUAUCAAAUGUUAUAAUUUCCAGAUUUAUGAAGCAAAGAGUAUACAAAUUUAACUUACAUCGUGACUUAUACAUGUAAGAAACUAAUAAAUUCAAAAAGGU
rnacentral:sRNA from 1 species